CGCAAGCCUGACGGAGCAAGACCGCGUGCGGGAUGACGGCCUAAUGGUUGUAAACCGCUUUUCUCUGGGAAGAUGAUGACGGUACCAGAGGAAUCAGCCUCGGCUAACUCCGUGCCAGCAGCCGCGGUAAUACGGAGGAGGCAAGCGUUAUCCGGAAUUAUUGGGCGUAAAGCGUCCGUAGGUGGUUAUUCAAGUCUGCUGUCAAAGCGUGGGGCUUAACUCCAUAGAGGCAGUGGAAACUGGAUGACUUGAGUGCGGUAGGGGUCGAGGGAAUUCCCAGUGUAGCGGUGAAAUGCGUAGAUAUUGGGAAGAAUACCAGUGGCGAAAGCGCUCGACUGGGCCUGCACUGACACUGAGGGACGAAAGCUAGGGGAGCG
rnacentral:rRNA from 1 species